UUUGAUCCUGGCUCAGGAUGAACGCUAGCGGCAGGCUUAACNCAUGCAAGUCGAGGGGUAACAUUGGUGCUUGCACCAGAUGACGACCGGCGCACGGGUGCGUAACGCGUAUACAAUCUACCUUAUACUGGGGGAUAGCCUUUGGAAACGAAGAUUAAUACCCCAUAGUACUUAUUUUUGGCAUCAUUAAUAAGUUAAAGGUUACGGUAUAAGAUGAGUAUGCGUCCUAUUAGUUUGUAGGUGAGGUAACGGCUCACCUAGACUUCGAUAGGUAGGGGCCCUGAGAGGGGGANCCCCCACACUGGUACUGAGACACGGACCAGACUCCUACGGGAGGCAGCAGUGAGGAAUAUUGGACAAUGGAGGAGACNCUGAUCCAGCCAUGCCGCGUGCAGGAAGACGGCCCUAUGGGUUGUAAACUGCUUUUAUACAGGAAGAAACNGUCCCUCGUGAGGGAUCUUGACGGUACUGUAAGAAUAAGGACCGGCUAACUCCGUGCCAGCAGCCGCGGUAAUAAGGG
rnacentral:rRNA from 1 species